rnacentral:rRNA from 1 species
CGCAUCUGUGCAUGCAGCAUAUCAAUAAGCGGAGGAAAAGAAACUAACAAGGAUUCCCUUAGUAACGGCGAGUGAAGCGGGAAGAGCUCAAAUUUGAAAUCUUCAAGGUUCUACCUUGACGAAUUGUAGUUUAAAGAAGUGUUUUCUGUUGAAGUUUUGGUAAAAGUUCUUUGGAAUAGGACAUCAUAGAGGGUGAGAAUCCCGUAUUUGACCAUUAUUUUCAGCUGUGUGAUACACUUUCAAAGAGUCGGAUUGUUUGGGAAUGCAGUCCAAAAUGGGUGGUAAAUUUCAUCUAAAGCUAAAUAUUGGCGAGAGACCGAUAGCGAACAAGUACCGUGAGGGAAAGAUGAAAAGAACUUUGAAAAGAGAGUUAAACAGUACGUGAAAUUGUCAAAAGGGAAGCGUUUGACACCAGUGUUGUUUUCUCGAAAAUCAAUUAAAAAGAGUUUAGAUUUUGUUGUGUAUUGACCUUAACAGCUUGCAUUUCAAUUUUCUUGCUUUUUUUAAUGCACUUUUCGUUUAACAAGUCAACAUCAGUUUCUUUUGUUGUAAAAAGGUCAUUGGAAGGUGGCUUUCUUUUCGGAGAAAGUGUUUAUAGCCUUUGACUCCUGCAAUCGGAGAGACUGAGGUCUGCAGCGUAGAUCCUUCGGGGUUAGAUACAUUUGUGCUAAGUUAUAGCUUUUUAUAGACAACUUGUUGACUAUGAUUAGUCUCGUAGCUUACUCGCUUAUGCUAUUUUACCUACGCUUAGGAUGUUGAACUCUAUCACACACAG